UGGGGAAUAUUGCGCAAUGGGGGAAACCCUGACGCAGCGACGCCGCGUGGGUGAUGAAGGCUUUCGGGUCGUAAAGCCCUGUCAGAAGGGAAGAACUGUCGAGAUGCGAAUAGUGUCUCGGCCUGACGGUACCUUCAAAGGAAGCACCGGCUAACUCCGUGCCAGCAGCCGCGGUAAUACGGAGGGUGCGAGCGUUGCUCGGAAUUACUGGGCGUAAAGAGCGUGUAGGCGGUUCUGUGUGUCGGGCGUGAAAGCCCCGGGCUCAACCCGGGAUGUGCGUCCGAAACUGCAGAACUAGAGUCUCGGAGAGGGAGGUGGAAUUCCAGGUGUAGCGGUGGAAUGCGUAGAUAUCUGGAAGAACACCGGUGGCGAAGGCGACCUCCUGGACGAUGACUGACGCUGAGACGCGAAAGCGUGGGUAGCAAACAGG
rnacentral:rRNA from 1 species